AGCAGCCGCGGUAAUUCCAGCUCCAAUAGCGUAUAUUAAAGUUGUUGCAGUUAAAAAGCUCGUAGUUGAAUUUCGGGAUCAAUAUGUCUGUCGUGCCUUCGGUACGUACGGGUAUAAUUGGUUUCUACCUUCUGAUGAACCUUGAUGCCAUUAAUUUGGUGUCUUGGGGACUCAGGACUGUUACCUUGAAAAAAUUAGAGUGUUUAAAGCAGGCAUACGCUUGAAUACAUUAGCAUGGAAUAAUGAAAUAGGACGUUCGAUUCUAUUUUGUUGGUUUCUAGGAUCGACGUAAUGAUUAAUAGGGAUAGUUGGGGGCGAUUAGUAUUCAAUUGUCAGAGGUGAAAUUCUUGGAUUUAUUGAAGACUAACUACUGCGAAAGCAUUUGCCAAGGAUGUUUUCAUUAAUCAAGAACGAAAGUUAGGGGAUCGAAGACGAUCAGAUACCGUCGUA
rnacentral:rRNA from 1 species